GUCACAGUGUGCCAAACUUAGUGAAGAAACUUGAAGAAUCCAGAGCUCUCUGGAUUGUGAAAUCACAGAUGACAAAUGGUGAAUCUGUAUUAUUAUGCUCACUUUACAGCUGUAGAUUCAGAUGUUCAGAGAGUUUCUAUAACUCAUGCAAACCACAGAACUGCUGAGUAGCAGAAUUUGAAUACCAACCCAGGCCUCCUGAUUCUAACACCUGCUCCAUCAGCCUUCAAGGAACAUUUGUCUCUGGAAGCAUCAGACACACAAACUUUCACCAACAAGCAGCUGUAAUUUCCAUUCAUCAAGGGCAGGGGCAGCAGAACCUUUGGAAUCCUUCAAUCCAGUUUGAAGAAUAAUCUACCAUGUCUGAACACCAUUUGCUCUAAAAUCCUUGCUACUCAGGGAUGGUCCAUGAACCAGCAACAUAGGCAUCACUGGGAGCUUGUUGGGAAUGCAAGAUCUCAGGCCUCAAGGAAGACUUCUGAAUCAGAAAUGCAGAGAGGAAAUGAGGCUCAGUACACACUCAAGGACAUUUGAAAAGCCUGUUCCCGAUGCUUUGUGACCCCAUGGACUGUAGCCUACCACGCUCCUCUGUCAGUGGCCAGCAGAGUUGUUUACACUUUUUCUCAUUUUCUUCCUCCUGGGCACAUGAUAUUUCUUCACUUCCUUAAUCCACUUCAACACAAGCAGGGCGAUGUGAUGCUCUGGCCAGUGAAACAUCAGUGAAGAUGCUAUGCAUCAUUUCCAGGUGACCAAGAGCAGAUGCUGACACCAGGGAAAGACCAGAGGGAACUGGAAGGGUGAUGGCAAAAAGGUGAAUUAUUAACCAUUUCCAGGCAUUAGAGUACAGAAGUUAAGAAACAGCUGUUCUGUAUAACCACAAAAGCAAAAAAAUAAGUACUA